rnacentral:rRNA from 1 species
GACGAACGCUGGCGGCGUGCUUAACACAUGCAAGUCGAACGGAGAGGCCCUGCUUUUGUGGGGUGCUCGAGUGGCGAACGGGUGAGUAACACGUGAGUAACCUGCCCUUGACUUUGGGAUAACUUCAGGAAACUGGGGCUAAUACCGGAUAGGAGCUCCUGCUGCAUGGUGGGGGUUGGAAAGUUUCGGCGGUUGGGGAUGGACUCGCGGCUUAUCAGCUUGUUGGUGGGGUAGUGGCUUACCAAGGCUUUGACGGGUAGCCGGCCUGAGAGGGUGACCGGCGACAUUGGGACUGAGAUACGGCCCAGACUCCUACGGGAGGCAGCAGUGGGGAAUAUUGCACAAUGGGCGGAAGCCUGAUGCAGCAACGCCGCGUGCGGGAUGACGGCCUUCGGGUUGUAAACCGCUUUCGCCUGUGACGAAGCGUGAGUGACGGUAAUGGGUAAAGAAGCACCGGCUAACUACGUG